rnacentral:lncRNA from 1 species
GAGUUUUUCACUGAACUUUACACUGCCAUUGAAUACAACUUCCUCUCCAGUUGCCACGAGUGCCAAAGCCACAGACUGUGGUCCGUCUGUUGGACUGGCAGCUGGAAUCCCAUCCCUGCUGGCCACAGCUCUGCUGGUAGCCUUGCUGUUUACCCUGAUCCAGCGAAGAAGAACCACCGAUGAGCCCAUCGAGGAGACUGAGGCUCCAUGUGAAAUUUCAGAACUCUAUGACAAUCCCAAGAUAUCCGAGAAUCCUAGGCAGUCACCCACGCAUGAAAUGAACCCACGAGGUGCUCAAGAAGGUCACAUAUAUGUGAAGACUGUCUCAGGAAGUGAGGAGCCCCUGCCCGACACCUACCGUCCUCCUGAAGAAGUAGAGAGAAGAAGAGGUCUUUGGUGGCUCGUGCCCAGACUGAGCCUGGAAUGAUGUCAUCGACUCAGGGAACAGACGCAGCACUGGAACGGGGCUGGAAACCUGGGAUCCGUGCUCAGGGUCCAUGCUUGGAGAGGUGAGAGGCCAGCAGCCUCUCAAUCCACGUCAAUUUCAUUCAUAGAUCCUGGACACAUCUGGCUGCCUUGCCUCCUUAGGGGAUGGCUGCAUUGAGGUUCAUUCAAACUCAGACCUUGCAGUGUGAUCAGCGACGCAACCUGGGUGAGUUGCUUGUACACCCAGAUGAGCCCCACAUGUCCUAUUUGUGAAUCUAGAGGAGUCUGCCUUUAGGAAAUGGCUUCUGAGUGUCCUGGCUUCUCCUCUACCUGCUCCAGCUGUUAUCUUUAAAGGAAAAAAAAUUUAAAGCUGUGGGAGUUGGCUUUUCUGGGUGCAUUGACCAAGGUCAGGUUGGCACAAGUUAGGACAUGAGUAAAACUUUACAGAAGACGUGUGAAAGAAGCCAUUUCUAUCUCAGGGUAGAGUUCACACAGAGCCAUACAUGCCCUACCCAACACGAGGAAGCACAUGGCUGAUUUGUGUCAUACGACAGAGAACGGGAUAUGGACCUCCUAGUCAGACAGGUCACUGAGCACUUCUGAGAAUUCUGAUGAGCUUACCUACCCUCCCUAAGCCUGUUCUGGGUUUUAUAAAAGGGGAGCAAAUAUUCUGUGCUUCAUUUGGCCAUUGGAGAGAUUACAAAAGGAAUAAAGGAAGCGAUUUCCACUUAGUGGACAUCAGAGAUACUAGUUAUCCUCCUUACCUGGCUCUUACCCCCCCUUCCCAUCCCACUUGGCCUAUCAAGUCAGGCAGCCGCUCUUCGGUAUUUGUUAUCUAUAGUUACGAAGUCAACAAGGAAGUCUAAAGCUUCUCAGGAGCCUGCAAUCUAAAUUGUUGACAUUUGAAAAUAACUCUAGUUGUCACUAGCAGUCUUCUCACUUCAACUCUGGACACCAUUUGUCCUUGGGUGUCAACAAGUUCCAAAUCGCAAGUACAGAGACCUGUGUUACACAUUACACAUUAACCUUUAGGAUGCUCAAGUCUUGGGUGGUUAAUCUUCACUGUCAACUUGAUGGGAUUUAGAAUCACCAAGGAGACACGCCUCCAGAAAGAUUUAACUGAGCAGGAAGAUCUGCCUGAAUGUGGGCAGCAUCAUUCCAUAGCCUGCAGUUCUGGACUAAAUAAAAGGGAACUCAAGUUGAGCACACAGAAUUCAUUGCUAUCUGCUUCCUGACUACAGAUAAAGUGUAUCCCAGCUUGCCUCACACUCCUGCUGUCAUGCCUUUCCUGCCAUGGUGGACCGAACCGUCAAACUAUGAGCCAAAAUAAAUAUCUCCACCCUUAAGUUGGUUUUAUUGUAACACUGAGAGAAGUAACUAAUAUAAACUGAUAUGCAUGUUUUAAUGACUUUUCUUUGCAAUGGGGUAUUUGCUUCGAAGUACUGUAACGAAAAGAUGUUUGUGAGGGAGAGACAUCGGGAAGACCAAAGAGGAUCACAGGAUCAAAGGAAUUCAAGGGACAUCUAGGGACAGCUUCAUCAGGCCGUGCUAAACAGUGGGAGAGCUGAGGCCUCAGAGCAUCUCCGAAAACAUCCACAAUCUCCAUGAGCCACCUCGAUGUCCCAGAGAACCAUCUUUCCUCUCAUGGGGCCUCUGGUUGUUCAGAAAUAGUCCAAUUCUUGAGCAACAGGAAAUGGUUCUAUAAACCUAAUGGCCAUCACAUGUUAACAGCUGCCUUUCAAAGCCCCUCUGAAAAUCAAUUUUCUGUUGUUCAUGGGCCCAGAUCUUAGAUAAGCAUAUUUGAACAUCUUCAAUUAGCUAUGCCCAGGUAUGCUGAAGGUCCACUUCUCUUACAUGAUGGGGAAAGACCUUGGGCUCCCAGAGAACUUGAGGAGACUGUGGCAUUGACAGAUUUGGAUUUCAGCUCCAGCCUAGAAUGCUGGUCGCCUAGAUCUUCAGUUUUAUGCUUACAAAACUGACCCCCAAGGGCAGCUGUGAGGCCUGAUUGAAAUACACAGAUGAGUAAGCCUUGUAACUUACAAAAUAAGUUAUGAUUUGUUGUUUUUCUGGGUUUUUUGCUUUUUUGUUUUUUGUUUUUGAUUCUUCAUCUUACUUCUAUUACAGUCGACUGCUUAGAAUCUUCAUUUCAAGUUGUUUUCACUAAACUUGCAAGGUUCAGGAUUUCUGUUGGUACAAAGACUUAUUUUGUAAUAAAUAAACGGCUAUUGUAUGGACCUAC